rnacentral:rRNA from 1 species
CGCGGCCUAUCAGCUUGUUGGUGAGGUAACGGCUCACCAAGGCGAUUACGGGUAGCUGGUCUGAGAGGACGAUCAGCCACACUGGAACUGAGAUACGGUCCAGACUCCUACGGGAGGCAGCAGGAGGGAAUCUUGCGCAAUGGGCGAAAGCCUGACGCAGCGACGCCGCGUGGGGGAUGAAUGCCUUAGGGUUGUAAACCCCUUUCACGAGGGAAGAAACUGACGGUACCUCGAGAAGAAGCCCCGGCCAACUACGUGCCAGCAGCCGCGGUAAUACGUAGGGAGCGAGCGUUGUCCGGAUUUAUUGGGCGUAAAGGGCUCGUAGGCGGCUUGGCAAGUCGGCCGUGAAAACCCAGGGCUCAACUCUGGGACGCCGGUCGAUACUGCCAUGGCUAGGGUCCGGUAGAGGGGAAUGGAAUUCCCGGUGUAGCGGUGAAAUGCGCAGAUAUCGGGAGGAACACCAGUAGCGAAGGCGGUUCCCUGGGCCGGCACCGACGCUGAGGAGCGAAAGCGUGGGGAGCAAACAGGAUUAGAUACCCUGGUAGUCCACGCCGUAAACGUUGGGUACUAGGCGUGGCGUCUUAUCAACGGGUGCCGUGCUCGAAGCUAACGCGUUAAGUACCCCGCCUGGGGAGUACGG